rnacentral:rRNA from 1 species
CCUACGGGUGGCAGCAGUGAGGAAUAUUGGUCAAUGGACGAGAGUCUGAACCAGCCAAGUAGCGUGAAGGAUGACUGCCCUAUGGGUUGUAAACUUCUUUUAUAUGGGAAUAAAAUGUUCCACGUGUGGGAUUUUGUAUGUACCAUAUGAAUAAGGAUCGGCUAACUCCGUGCCAGCAGCCGCGGUAAUACGGAGGAUCCGAGCGUUUUCCGGAUUUUUUGGGUUUAAAGGGAGCGUAGGUGGAUUGUUAAGUCAGUUGUGAAAGUUUGCGGCUCAACCGUAAAAUUGCAGUUGAAACUGGCAGUCAUGAGUACAGUAGAGGUGGGCGGAAUUCGUGGUGUAGCGGUGAAAUGCUUAGAUAUCACGAAGAACUCCGAUUGCGAAGGCAGCUCACUGGACUGCAACUGACACUGAGGCUCGAAAGUGUGGGUAUCAAACAGGAUUAGAUACCCUUGUAGUC